UACGUAGGUGGCGAGCGUUGUCCGGAAUUACUGGGUGUAAAGGGCGUGUAGGCGGGGAUGCAAGUCAGAUGUGAAAUACCGAGGCUUAACUUCGGGGGUGCAUCUGAAACUGUAUUUCUUGAGUGGUCGGAGAGGAAAGUGGAAUUCCUAGUGUAGCGGUGAAAUGCGUAGAUAUUAGGAGGAACACCAGUGGCGAAGGCGACUUUCUGGACGAUAACUGACGCUGAGGCGCGAAAGCGUGGGGAGCAAACAGGAUUAGAUACCCGCGUAGUCCCU
rnacentral:rRNA from 1 species